UUUGUCCCUAACUCUGAUGCAUGAGAGGAGAGAGGAGAAUGAAAGGCACCUGACGCUGGAGCGCCCAUAAGACAGAUACGAAGAUAAUUGGCUGUGCUGCAACAAGAGGGGGCUUGCGGAUGAGAGGCUCACCAGGUCCUGCUCCCAUUUGACAGGCCAGUACAGUUUUAUCUACAAACUCUUCUCAUAUGUGUCUGCUGCUACUUAGUUGUACAUACUCACAUUUAUAGUGGGAACACAUUUAGUUGGGUGUAUAUAUUUAUUAGUGCUAGACAAUAAGAGCAGUAGUUUUGUGGGUAAAAAGAAAGGCUUGGCAAUAGACUGACCAGUUGAAAGGGCUGAUUAAGUACCGUAGUAUUGUUGAAUUAAAAGAGCAUUUCCAAAGGUCUAAAUUUUGCUGAAACGUGUGGAUGUGGUUUGUCAUUGCUGCUUGGUAAAAUCACACAGAUUGAUCUUUUACGGGUGUUGAUAAGUUUUAGGCCUCAGGGGAUGCUUCAUGAGAAGCACUAGGGGACAAUCGCGCCCACUCAGAGGACCUGUAAACCCUGAUAGGGGGACAGAACCUGGAUUUUAGGGGUGCCCAGAAGACCUAAAAGGGGGGUGUCAGCUGGUAGUGUCAGGGCCAGAACAAGAGCCAACCAUUGAAGUGAAAGUGAAUGAUAAACCAUUGACAGUUAUGGCAGAUUGCGGAGCUGCUUUCACCUGUGUUGAGAAUAAUUUUAAAGUGGGGAAAAGUUUCAUAAAAAAAAUCCUGAGUACACCCCAUAAUGUCCUCAAUGAGCUGAAUUUUUGAAGCCCAGAAUAGUUUCUGUAGCUCAAAGUUUGUGGGUGGAGAUAGGUGGUGAUGCAGACACAUAUUAACUGUGUGUACAUGCAGGUCUUUUAGACACACACACACGUGCACACACAUUGCCAGACUGUGUGUGUGUGUGUGUGUGUCGUUAAUGAUAGCAUCCUAAACAGCUGUGAGAUUAAAGGCAUUAACUGACCGACUGUUUGAAUGAGAAGCUGCCUCUGGACUUCUUCACAUAGCACGAUUUCCUUAUAACUAUAGUAAGGAAACAUUGAGCUCUGUGAGGAGAGGUGUGCUGAAGUUUGAGUGUGUGAGAGAAGCUUCUGGUGUGUGUGGGUGUGAGAGGAGUGUGUGUAUGGGUGCUGAGCUGUGUGUGUGAGGGCAAAAGAGUCUGUGUGCAGUGAGUGGUGUGUGCACAAAGUUGGGGAAUGGUCUAGCAUAAAUAUAAGUGAUUAACUUAUGAUAAAGUGAUGAAUGAUGUCUUAUUAAAUAUAUAAUGAUAUGAUAUAAGAAAUUAACAUAUAAGGGAAGAGAUACUGUUGCCUUUGUAGUGUUAAAAACAUAUGAGCCCUGUUUUUCUUUGUACAGGGACGUUAAUAGAAUAAGUAACUGCUAUGAGCCUCUCAGGAUAAAGAGGACGUUUGUACACCUAAUAGUAAGAAAUGAGCCCCUUAUUAGAUGAGGAGGACUUUGGAUGGUGAUAACAUCCUCGAUUAAAAUGGCAAUUAAAGAAGUGUACACAAGCACAUUUGUGUUCAUACAGAUACAGGGAAAAAACAGAGUAACAGAGUGGGGUAAAAUAAAAUGAUUUGCUAACUGAUGGGUAUGGUUUUCCUCUGUGUGUGUGUGAAUAUUUAAAGUGAAUGGUCACUUGCUGAUGAUUAUGUUUAGAGGGAAAAUCCCAGUUAAAAAUUGGAAAAAUCCAUGGAGCUUUCUCUCCCGCUUUCUUUCUCUUCUUGCAGGCCUGAGAACAGAAAGAAAGCUAAAAAAUCUAGUUUAACUAUCCUAGAUGUGUGAAAAUUUUAAAUGGUAUACCAUGGUAAAGGGGAAUGGUGUAUAAUAAAUUUAGGUAGUCUUAUGGUAGAAGAAAUCUUUAAUUAGUGGUAGGAAAUGUUGUUUUCAAGUUUAUUGAGUGAAUUGAUUGUAAUAUACUAAACAUUUGAUUUGUUCUUUGUCCCUAACUCUGAUGCAUGAGAGGAGAGAGGAGAAUGAAAGGCACCUGACGCUGGAGCGCCCAUCAGAGAGGCUCACCAGGUCCUGCUCCCAUUUGACAGGCCAGUACAGUUUUAUCUACAAACUCUUCUCCUAUGUGUCUGCUGCUACUUAGUUGUACAUACACACAUUUAUAGUGGGAACACAUUUAGUUGGGUGUAUAUAUUUAUUAGUGCUAGACAAUAAGAGCAGUAGUUUUGUGGGUAAAAAGAAAGGCUUGGCAAUAGACUGACCAGUUGAAAGGGCUGAUUAAGUACCGUAGUAUUGUUGAAUUAAAAGAGCAUAUCCAAGAGGUCUAAAUUUUGCUGAAACGUGUGGAUGUGGUUUGUCAUUGCUGCUCGGUAAAAUCACACAGAUUGAUCUUUUACGGGUGUUGAUAAGUCUUAGGCCUCAGGGGAUGCUUCAUGAGAAGCACUAGGGGACAAUCGCGCCCACUCAGAGGACCUGUAAACCCUGAUAGGGGGACAGAACCUUGAUUUUAGGGGUGCCCAGAAGACCUAAAAGGGGGGUGUCAGCUGGUAGUGUCAGGGCCAGAACAAGAGCCAACCAUUGAGGUGAAAGUGAAUGAUAAACCAUUGACAGUUAUGGCAGAUUGCGGAGCUGCUUUCACCUGUGUUGAGAAUAAUUCUAAAGUGGGGAAAAGUUUCAUAAAAAAAAUCCUGAGUACACCCUAUAAUGUCCUCAAUGAGCUGAAUUUUUGAAGCCCAGAAUAGUUUCUGUAGCUCAAAGUUUGUGGGUGGAGAUAGGUGGUGAUGCAGACACAUAUUAACUGUGUGUACAUGCAGGUAUUUUAGACACAGACACACACACACACACAUUGCCAGACUGUGUGUGUGUGUGUGUGUGUGUGUGUGUGUGUGUGUCGGUAAUGAUUGCAUCCUAAACAGCUGUGAGAUUAAAGGCAUUUACUGACCGACUGUUUGAAUGAGAAGCUGCCUCUGGACUUCUUCACAUAGUACGAUUUCCUAUAACUAUAGUAAGGAAACAUUGAGCUCUGUGAGGAGAGGUGUGCUGAAGUUUGAGUGUGUGAGAGAAGCUUCUGGUGUGUGUGUGAGAGGAGUGUGUGUAUGGGUGCUGAGCUGUGUGUGUGAGGGCAAAGGAGUCUGUGUGCAGUGAGUGGUGUGUGCACAAAGUUGGGGAAUGGUCUAGCAUAAAUAUAAGUGAUUAACUUAUGAUAAAGUGAUGAAUGAUGUCUUAUUAAAUAUAUAAUGAUAUGAUAUAAGAAAUUCACAUAUAAGGGAAGAGAUUCUGUUGCCUUUGUAGUGUUAAAAACAUAUGAGCCCUGUUUUUCUUUGUACAGGGACGUUAAUAGAAUAAGUAACUGCUAUGAGCCUCUCAGGAUAAAGAGGACGUUUGUACACCUAAUAGUAAGAAAUGAGCCCCUUAUUAGAUGAGGAGGACUUUGGAUGGUGAUAACAUCCUCGAUUAAAAUGGCAACUAAAGAAGUGUACACAAGCACAUUAGUGUUCAUACAGAUACAGGGAAAAAACAGAGUAACAGAGUGGGGUAAAAUAAAAUGAUUUGCUAACUGAUGGGUAUGGUUUUCCUCUGUGUGUGUGUGAAUAUUUAAAGUGAAUGGUCACUUGCUGAUGAUUAUGUUUAGAGGGAAAAUCCCAGUUAAAAAUUGGAAAAAUCCAGGGAGCUUUCUCUUCUUACAGGCCUGAGAACAGAAAGAAAGCUAAAAAAUCUAGUUUAACUAUCCUAGAUGUGUGAAAAUGUUAAAUGGUAUACCAUGGUAAAGGGGAAUGGUGUAUAAUAAAUUUAGGUAGUCUUAUGGUAGAAGAAAUCUUUAAUUAGUGGUAGGAAAUGUUGUUUUCAAGUGUAUUGAGUGAAUUGAUUGUAAUAUACUAAACAUUUGAUUUGUUCUUUGUCCCUAACUCUGAUGCAUGAGAGGAGAGAGGAGAAUGAAAGGCACCUGACGCUGGAGCGCCCAUAAGACAGAUGUUGCUGUGCUGCAACAAGAGGGGGCUUGCAGAUGAGAGGCUCACCAGGUCCUGCUCCCAUUUGACAGGCCAGUACAGUUUUAUCUACAAACUCUUCUCCUAUGUGUCUGCUGCUACUUAGUUGUACAUACACACAUUUAUAGUGGGAACACAUUUAGUUGGGUGUAUAUAUUUAUUAGUGCUAGACAAUAAGAGCAGUAGUUUUGUGGGUAAAAAGAAAGGCUUGGCAAUAGACUGACCAGUUGAAAGGGCUGAUUAACUACCGUAGUAUUGUUGAAUUAAAAGAGCAUUUCCAAGAGGUCUUAAUUUUGCUGAAACGUGUGGAUGUGGUUUGUCAUUGCUGCUCGGUAAAAUCACACAGAUUGAUCUUUUACGGGUGUUGAUAAGUCUUAGGCCUCAGGGGAUGCUUCAUGAGAAGCACUAGGGGACAAUCGCGCCCACUCAGAGGACCUGUAAACCCUGAUAGGGGGACAGAACCUUGAUUUUAGGGGUGCCCAGAAGACCUAAAAGGGGGGUGUCAGCUGGUAGUGUCAGGGCCAGAACAAGAGCCAACCAUUGAGGUGAAAGUGAAUGAUAAACCAUUGACAGUUAUGGCAGAUUGCGGAGCUGCUUUCACCUGUGUUGAGAAUAAUUCUAAAGUGGGGAAAAGUUUCAUAAAAAAAAUCCUGAGUACACCCCAUAAUGUCCUCAAUGAGCUGAAUUUUUGAAGCCCAGAAUAGUUUCUGUAGCUCAAAGUUUGUGGGUGGAGAUAGGUGGUGAUGCAGACACAUAUUAACUGUGUGUACAUGCAGGUAUUUUAGACACAGACACACAUGCACACACAUUGCCAGACUGUGUGUGUGUGUGUGUGUGUGUGUGUGUGUGUGUGUGUGUGUGUGUGUGUGUGUGUGUGUGUGUGUGUGUGUGUGUGUGUCGUUAAUGAUCGCAUCCUAAACAGCUGUGAGAUUAAAGGCAUUAACUGACCGACUGUUUGAAUGAGAAGCUGCCUCUGGACUUCCUCACAUAGUACGAUUUCCUUAUAACUAUAGUAAGGAAACAUUGAGCUCUGUGAGGAGAGGUGUGCUGAAGUUUGAGUGUGUGAGAGAAGCUUCUGGUGUGUGUGUGUGUGAGAGGAGUGUGUGUAUGGGUGCUGAGCUGUGUGUGUGAGGGCAAAAGAGUCUGUGUGCAGUGAGUGGUGUGUGCACAAAGUUGGGGAAUGGUCUAGCAUAAAUAUAAGUGAUUAACUUAUGAUAAAGUGAUGAAUGAUGUCUUAUUAAAUAUAUAAUGAUAUGAUAUAAGAAAUUAACAUAUAAGGGAAGAGAUUCUGUUGCCUUUGUAGUGUUAAAAACAUAUGAGCCCUGUUUUUCUUUGUACAGGGACGUUAAUAGAAUAAGUAACUGCUAUGAGCCUCUCAGGAUAAAGAGGACGUUUGUACACCUAAUAGUAAGAAAUGAGCCCCUUAUUAGAUGAGGAGGACUUUGGAUGGUGAUAACAUCCUCGAUUAAAAUGGCAACUAAAGAAGUGUACACAAGCACAUUAGUGUUCAUACAGAUACAGGGAAAAAAUAGAGUGGGGUAAAAUGGAAUGAUUUGCUAACUGAUGGGUAUGGUUUUCUUCUGUGUGUGUAUGUGAAUAUUUAAAGUGAAUGGUCACUUGCUGAUGAUUAUGUUUAGAGGGAAAAUCCCAGUUAAAAAUUGGAAAAAUCCAUGGAGCUUUCUCUUCUUACAGGCCUGAGAACAGAAAGAAAGCUAAAAAAUCUAGUUUAACUAUCCUAGAUGUGUGAAAAUUUUAAAUGGUAUACCAUGGUAAAGGGGAAUGGUGUAUAAUAAAUUUAGGUAGUCUUAUGGUAGAAGAAAUCUUUAAUUAGUGGUAGGAAAUGUUGUUUUCAAGUGUAUUGAGUGAAUUGAUUGUAAUAUACUAAACAUUUGAUUUGUUCUUUGUCCCUAACUCUGAUGCAUGAGAGGAGAGAGGAGAAUGAAAGGCACCUGACGCUGGAGCGCCCAUAAGACAGAUACGAAGAUAAAUGGCUGUGCUGCAACAAGAGGGGGCUUGCGGAUGAGAGGCUCACCAGGUCCUGCUCCCAUUUGACAGGCCAGUACAGUUUUAUCUACAAACUCUUCUCCUAUGUGUCUGCUGCUACUUAGUUGUACAUACACACAUUUAUAGUGGGAACACAUUUAGUUGGGUGUAUAUAUUUAUUUGUGCUAGACAAUAAGAGCAGUAGUUUUGUGGGUAAAAAGAAAGGCUUGGCAAUAGACUGACCAGUUGAAAGGGCUGAUUAAGUACCGUAGUAUUGUUGAAUCAAAAGAGCAUUUCCAAAGGUCUAAAUUUUGCUGAAACGUGUGGAUGUGGUUUGUCAUUGCUGCUCGGUAAAAUCACACAGAUUGAUCUUUUACGGGUGUUGAUAAGUUUUAGGCCUCAGGGGAGGCUUCAUGAGAAGCACUAGGGGACAAUCGCGCCCACUCAGAGGCCCUGUAAACCCUGAUAGGGGGACAGAACCUGGAUUUUAGGGGUGCCCAGAAGACCUAAAAGGGGGGUGUCAGCUGGUAGUGUCAGGGCCAGAACAAGAGCCAACCAUUGAGGUGAAAGUGAAUGAUAAACCAUUGACAGUUAUGGCAGAUUGCGGAGCUGCUUUCACCUGUGUUGAGAAUAAUUUUAAAGUGGGGAAAAGUUUAAUAAAAAAAAUCCUGAGUACACCCCAUAAUGUCCUCAAUGAGCUGAAUUUUUGAAGCCCAGAAUAGUUUCUGUAGCUCAAAGUUUGUGGGUGGAGAUAGGUGGUGAUGCAGACACAUAUUAACUGUGUGUACAUGCAGGUCUUUUAGACAGUGUGUGUAUGGGUGCUGAGCUGUGUGUGUGAGGGCAAAAGAGUCUGUGUGCAGUGAGUGGUGUGUGCACAAAGUUGGGGAAUGGUCUAGCAUAAAUAUAAGUGAUUAACUUAUGAUAAAGUGAUGAAUGAUGUCUUAUUAAAUAUAUAAUGAUAUGAUAUAAGAAAUUCACAUAUAAGGGAAGAGAUACUGUUGCCUUUGUAGUGUUAAAAACAUAUGAGCCCUGUUUUUCUUUGUACAGGGACGUUAAUAGAAUAAGUAACUGCUAUGAGCCUCUCAGGAUAAAGAGGACGUUUGUACACCUAAUAGUAAGAAAUGAGCCCCUUAUUAGAUGAGGAGGACUUUGGAUGGUGAUAACAUCCUCGAUUAAAAUGGCAACUAAAGAAGUGUACACAAGCACAUUUGUGUUCAUACAGAUACAGGGAAAAAACAGAGUGGGGUAAAAUGAAAUGAUUUGCUAACUGAUGGGUAUGGUUUUCCUCUGUGUGUGUGUGAAUAUUUAAAGUGAAUGGUCACUUGCUGAUGAUUAUGUUUAGAGGGAAAAUCCCAGUUAAAAAUUGGAAAAAUCCAGGGAGCUUUCUCUUCUUACAGGCCUGAGAACAGAAAGAAAGCUAAAAAAUCUAGUUUAACUAUCCUAGAUGUGUGAAAAUUUUAAAUGGUAUACCAUGGUAAAGGGGAAUGGUGUAUAAUAAAUUUAGGUAGUCUUAUGGUAGAAGAAAUCUUUAAUUAGUGGUAGGAAAUGUUGUUUUCAAGUGUAUUGAGUGAAUUGAUUGUAAUAUACUAAACAUUUGAUUUGUUCUUUGUCCCUAACUCUGAUGCAUGAGAGGAGAGAGGAGAAUGAAAGGCACCUGACGCUGGAGCGCCCAUAAGACAGAUGUUGCUGUGCUGCAACAAGAGGGGGCUUGCGGAUGAGAGGCUCACCAGGUCCUGCUCCCAUUUGACAGGCCAGUACAGUUUUAUCUACAAACUCUUCUCCUAUGUGUCUGCUGCUACUUAGUUGUACAUACACACAUUUAUAGUGGGAACACAUUUAGUUGGGUGUAUAUAUUUAUUAGUGCUAGACAAUAAGAGCAGUAGUUUUGUGGGUAAAAAGAAAGGCUUGGCAAUAGACUGACCAGUUGAAAGGGCUGAUUAAGUACCGUAGUAUUGUUGAAUAAAAAGAGCAUUUCCAAGAGGUCUUAAUUUUGCUGAAACGUGUGGAUGUGGUUUGUCAUUGCUGCUUGGUAAAAUCACACAGAUUGAUCUUUUACGGGUGUUGAUAAGUUUUAGGCCUCAGGGGAGGCUUCAUGAGAAGCACUAGGGGACAAUCGCGCCCACUCAGAGGACCUGUAAACCCUGAUAGGGGGACAGAACCUGGAUUUUAGGGGUGCCCAGAAGACCUAAAAGGGGGGUGUCAGCUGGUAGUGUCAGGGCCAGAACAAGAGCCAACCAUUGAGGUGAAAGUGAAUGAUAAACCAUUGACAGUUAUGGCAGAUUGCGGAGCUGCUUUCACCUGUGUUGAGAAUAAUUUUAAAGUGGGGAAAAGUUUAAUAAAAAAAAUCCUGAGUACACCCCAUAAUGUCCUCAAUGAGCUGAAUUUUUGAAGCCCAGAAUAGUUUCUGUAGCUCAAAGUUUGUGGGUGGAGAUAGGUGGUGAUGCAGACACAUAUUAACUGUGUGUACAUGAAGUUCUUUUAGACACAGACACACACACACACACACACACACACACACACACACACACACACACACACAUUGCCACACUGUGUGUGUGUGUGUGUGUGUGGUUAAUGAUUGCAUCCUAAACAGCUGUGAGAUUAAAGGCAUUAACUGACCGACUGUUUGAAUGAGAAGCUGCCUCUGGACUUUCUCACAUAGUACGAUUUUCUUAUAACUAUAGUAAGGAAACAUUGAGCUCUGUGAGGAGAGGUGUGCUGAAGUUUGAGUGUGUCAGAGAAGCUUCUGGUGUGUGUGUGUGAGAGGAGUGUGUGUAUGGGUGCUGAGCUGUGUGUGUGAGGGCAAAAGAGUCUGUGUGCAGUGAGUGGUGUGUGCACAAAGUUGGGGAAUGGUCUAGCAUAAAUAUAAGUGAUUAACUUAUGAUAAAGUGAUGAAUGAUGUCUUAUUAAAUAUAUAAUGAUAUGAUAUAAGAAAUUCACAUAUAAGGGAAGAGAUACUGUUGCCUUUGUAGUGUUAAAAACAUAUGAGCCCUGUUUUUCUUUGUACAGGGACGUUAAUAGAAUAAGUAACUGCUAUGAGCCUCUCAGGAUAAAGAGGACGUUUGUACACCUAAUAGUAAGAAAUGAGCCCCUUAUUAGAUGAGGAGGACUUUGGAUGGUGAUAACAUCCUCGAUUAAAAUGGCAACUAAAGAAGUGUACACAAGCACAUUUGUGUUCAUACAGAUACAGGGAAAAAACAGAGUGGGGUAAAAUGAAAUGAUUUGCUAACUGAUGGGUAUGGUUUUCCUCUGUGUGUGUGUGAAUAUUUAAAGUGAAUGGUCACUUGCUGAUGAUUAUGUUUAGAGGGAAAAUCCCAGUUAAAAAUUGGAAAAAUCCAGGGAGCUUUCUCUCCCGCUUUCUUUCUCUUCUUACAGGCCUGAGAACAGAAAGAAAGCUAAAAAAUCUAGUUUAACGAUCCUAGAUGUGUGAAAAUUUUAAAUGGUAUACCAUGGUAAAGGGGAAUGGUGUAUAAUAAAUUUAGGUAGUCUUAUGGUAGAAGAAAUCUUUAAUUAGUGGUAGGAAAUGUUGUUUUCAAGUGUAUUGAGUGAAUUGAUUGUAAUAUACUAAACAUUUGAUUUGUUCUUUGUCCCUAACUCUGAUGCAUGAGAGGAGAGAGGAGAAUGAAAGGCACCUGACGCUGGAGCGCCCAUAAGACAGAUGUUGCUGUGCUGCAACAAGAGGGGGCUUGCGGAUGAGAGGCUCACCAGGUCCUGCUCCCAUUUGACAGGCCAGUACAGUUUUAUCUACAAACUCUUCUCCUAUGUGUCUGCUGCUACUUAGUUGUACAUACACACAUUUAUAGUGGGAACACAUUUAGUUGGGUGUAUAUAUUUAUUAGUGCUAGACAAUAAGAGCAGUAGUUUUGUGGGUAAAAAGAAAGGCUUGGCAAUAGACUGACCAGUUGAAAGGGCUGAUUAAGUACCGUAGUAUUGUUGAAUUAAAAGAGCAUUUCCAAAGGUCUAAAUUUUGCUGAAACGUGUGGAUGUGGUUUGUCAUUGCUGCUUGGUAAAAUCACACAGAUUGAUCUUUUACGGGUGUUGAUAAGUUUUAGGCCUCAGGGGAUGCUUCAUGAGAAGCACUAGGGGACAAUCGCGCCCACUCAGAGGACCUGUAAACCCUGAUAGGGGGACAGAACCUGGAUUUUAGGGGUGCCCAGAAGACCUAAAAGGGGGGUGUCAGCUGGUAGUGUCAGGGCCAGAACAAGAGCCAACCAUUGAGGUGAAAGUGAAUGAUAAACCAUUGACAGUUAUGGCAGAUUGCGGAGCUGCUUUCACCUGUGUUGAGAAUCAUUUUAAAGUGGGGAAAAUUUAAAAAAAAAAAUCCUUAGUACACCCCAUAAUGUCCUCAAUGAGCUGAAUUUUUGAAGCCCAGAAUAGUUUCUGUAGCUCAAAGUUUGUGGGUGGAGAUAGGUGGUGAUGCAGACACAUAUUAACUGUGUGUACAUGCAGGUCUUUUAGACAGUGUGUGUAUGGGUGCUGAGCUGUGUGUGUGAGGGCAAAAGAGUCUGUGUGCAGUGAGUGGUGUGUGCACAAAGUUGGGGAAUGGUCUAGCAUAAAUAUAAGUGAUUAACUUAUGAUAAAGUGAUAAAUGAUGUCUUAUUAAAUAUAUACUGAUAUGAUAUAAGAAAUUCACAUAUAAGGGAAGAGAUUCUGUUGCCUUUGUAGUGUUAAAAACAUAUGAGCCCUGUUUUUCUUUGUACAGGGACGUUAAUAGAAUAAGUAACUGCUAUGAGCCUCUCAGGAUAAAGAGGACGUUUGUACACCUAAUAGUAAGAAAUGAGCCCCUUAUUAGAUGAGGAGGACUUUGGAUGGUGAUAACAUCCUCGAUUAAAAUGGCAACUAAAGAAGUGUACACAAGCACAUUAGUGUUCAUACAGAUACAGGGAAAAAACAGAGUAACAGAGUGGGGUAAAAUAAAAUGAUUUUCUAACUGAUGGGUAUGGUUUUCCUCUGUGUGUGUGUGAAUAUUUAAAGUGAAUGGUCACUUGCUGAUGAUUAUGUUUAGAGGGAAAAUCCCAGUUAAAAAUUGGAAAAAUCCAUGGAGCUUUCUCUUCUUACAGGCCUGAGAACAGAAAGAAAGCUAAAAAAUCUAGUUUAACUAUCCUAGAUGUGUGAAAAUUUUAAAUGGUAUACCAUGGUAAAGGGGAAUGGUGUAUAAUAAAUUUAGGUAGUCUUAUGGUAGAAGAAAUCUUUAAUUAGUGGUAGGAAAUGUUGUUUUCAAGUGUAUUGAGUGAAUUGAUUGUAAUAUACUAAACAUUUGAUUUGUUCUUUGUCCCUAACUCUGAUGCAUGAGAGGAGAGAGGAGAAUGAAAGGCACCUGACGCUGGAGCGCCCAUAAGACAGAUGUUGCUGUGCUGCAACAAGAGGGGGCUUGCAGAUGAGAGGCUCACCAGGUCCUGCUCCCAUUUGACAGGCCAGUACAGUUUUAUCUACAAACUCUUCUCCUAUGUGUCUGCUGCUACUUAGUUGUACAUACACACAUUUAUAGUGGGAACACAUUUAGUUGGGUGUAUAUAUUUAUUAGUGCUAGACAAUAAGAGCAGUAGUUUUGUGGGUAAAAAGAAAGGCUUGGCAAUAGACUGACCAGUUGAAAGGGCUGAUUAAGUACCGUAGUAUUGUUGAAUUAAAAGAGCAUUUCCAAAGGUCUAAAUUUUGCUGAAACGUGUGGAUGUGGUUUGUCAUUGCUGCUCGGUAAAAUCACACAGAUUGAUCUUUUACGGGUGUUGAUAAGUCUUAGGCCUCAGGGGAGGCUUCAUGAGAAGCACUAGGGGACAAUCGCGCCCACUCAGAGGACCUGUAAACCCUGAUAGGGGGACAGAACCUGGAUUUUAGGGGUGCCCAGAAGACCUAAAAGGGGGGUGUCAGCUGGUAGUGUCAGGGCCAGAACAAGAGCCAACCAUUGAGGUGAAAGUGAAUGAUAAACCAUUGACAGUUAUGGCAGAUUGCGGAGCUGCUUUCACCUGUGUUGAGAAUAAUUUAAAGUGGGGAAAAGUUUAAAAAAAAAAUCCUGAGUACACCCCAUAAUGUCCUCAAUGAGCUGAAUUUUUGAAGCCCAGAAUAGUUUCUGUAGCUCAAAGUUUGUGGGUGGAGAUAGGUGAUGAUGCAGACACAUACUAACUGUGUGUACAUGCAGGUCUUUUAGACACAGACACACAUGCACACACAUUGCCAGACUGUAUGUGUGUGUGUGUGUGUGGUUAAUGAUUGCAUCCUAAACAGCUGUGAGAUUAAAGGCAUUAACUGACCGACUGUUUGAAUGAGAAGCUGCCUCUGGACUUCUUCACAUAGUACGAUUUCCUUAUAACUAUAGUAAGGAAACAUUGAGCUCUGUGAGGAGAGGUGUGCUGAAGUUUGAGUGUGUGAGAGAAGCUUCUGGUGUGUGUGUGAGAGGAGUGUGUGUAUGGGUGCUGAGCUGUGUGUGUGAGGGCAAAAGAGUCUGUGUGCAGUGAGUGGUGUGUGCACAAAGUUGGGGAAUGGUCUAGCAUAAAUAUAAGUGAUUAACUUAUGAUAAAGUGAUGAAUGAUGUCUUAUUAAAUAUAUAAUGAUAUGAUAUAAGAAAUUCACAUAUAAGGGAAGAGAUACUGUUGCCUUUGUAGUGUUAAAAACAUAUGAGCCCUGUUUUUCUUUGUACAGGGACGUUAAUAGAAUAAGUAACUGCUAUGAGCCUCUCAGGAUAAAGAGGACGUUUGUACACCUAAUAGUAAGAAAUGAGCCCCUUAUUAGAUGAGGAGGACUUUGGAUGGUGAUAACAUCCUCGAUUAAAAUGGCAACUAAAGAAGUGUACAUAAGCACAUUAGUGUUCAUAUAGAUACAGGGAAAAAACAGAGUGGGGUAAAAUGGAAUGAUUUGCUAACUGAUGGGUAUGGUUUUCCUCUGUGUGUGUGUGAAUAUUUAAAGUGAAUGGUCACUUGCUGAUGAUUAUGUUUAGAGGGAAAGUCCCAGUUAAAAAUUGGAAAAAUCCAGGGAGCUUUCUCUCCCGCUUUCUUUCUCUUCUUACAGGCCUGAGAACAGAAAGAAAGCUAAAAAAUCUAGUUUAACUAUCCUAGAUGUGUGGGAAAUUUUAAAUGGUAUACCAUGGUAAAGGGGAAUGGUGUAUAAUAAAUUUAGGUAGUCUUAUGGUAGAAGAAAUCUUUAAAUAGUGGUAGGAAAUGUUGUUUUCAAGUGUAUUGAGUGAAUUGAUUGUAAUAUACUAAACAUUUGAUUUGUUCUUUGUCCCUAACUCUGAUGCAUGAGAGGAGAGAGGAGAAUGAAAGGCACCUGACGCUGGAGCGCCCAUAAGACAGAUGUUGCUGUGCUGCAACAAGAGGGGGCUUGCGGAUGAGAGGCUCACCAGGUCCUGCUCCCAUUUGACAGGCCAGUACAGUUUUAUCUACAAACUCUUCUCCUAUGUGUCUGCUGCUACUUAGUUGUACAUACACACAUUUAUAGUGG
rnacentral:lncRNA from 1 species